rnacentral:rRNA from 1 species
UGGGGAAUAUUGGACAAUGGGGGCAACCCUGAUCCAGCAAUGCCGCGUGUGUGAAGAAGGCCUUCGGGUUGUAAAGCACUUUUAUCGGGAACGAAACAUUGUCGGCCAAUACCCGGCAAGACUGACGGUACCCGAGGAAUAAGCACCGGCUAACUCCGUGCCAGCAGCCGCGGUAAUACGGAGGGUGCAAGCGUUAAUCGGAAUUACUGGGCGUAAAGCGUGCGCAGGCGGUUUGUUAAGUCUGCUGUGAAAUCCCCGAGCUCAACUUGGGAAUUGCAGUGGAUACUGGCAAGCUGGAGUACGGUAGAGGACGGUGGAAUUCCCGGUGUAGCAGUGAAAUGCGUAGAGAUCGGGAGGAACACCAGUGGCGAAGGCGGCCUUCUGGACCAGUACUGACGCUCAUGCACGAAAGCGUGGGGAGCAAACA